rnacentral:rRNA from 1 species
UACAGAGGGCGCGAGCGUUGUCCGGAAUCACUGGGCGUAAAGGGCGCGUAGGUGGCCACUAUAAGGCCGCGGUGAAAGUUCGGGGCUCAACCCUGAAUCUGCCGCGGCGACUGUAGGGCUAGGGCACCGUAGAGGCAGAUGGAAUUCCGGGUGUAGCGGUGGAAUGCGUAGAGAUCCGGAAGAACACCGGUGGCGAAGGCGGCAUCCUGGACCAACACUGACGCUGAGUGAGCGAAAGCCAGGGGAGCAAACGGG